ensembl:ncRNA T01B10.11 ncRNA
UUUUAGCAUGAGAAGUAACACAUAACAAUUGAAAAAUGAAGGGGGUGGAAACGGAGGAGUGAGGUAUCUCAAGGCUGUUCCGUUCUUUUAUUCUUUUUUAUUUCAAAAACUAAGAGAAAAGAAUGAGAAGGAGGUAAAACUUUUUCACG